rnacentral:SRP_RNA from 1 species
GCCAGGUGUGUUGGUGCACGCCUGUAAUUCCAGCUACUUGGGAGGCUGAGGCACAAGAAUUGCUUGAACCCAGGAGUCAGAGGUUGCAGUGAGCCAAGAUCACGCCACUGCACUCUGUCCUGGGUGACAGAGCAAUACCCUGUCUCAA